rnacentral:rRNA from 1 species
GGGGGCAACCCUGACCGAGCAACGCCGCGUGAGUGAAGAAGGUUUUCGGAUCGUAAAGCUCUGUUGUAAGUCAAGAACGAGUGUGAGAGUGGAAAGUUCACACUGUGACGGUAGCUUACCAGAAAGGGACGGCUAACUACGUGCCAGCAGCCGCGGUAAUACGUAGGUCCCGAGCGUUGUCCGGAUUUAUUGGGCGUAAAGCGAGCGCAGGCGGUUUGAUAAGUCUGAAGUUAAAGGCUGUGGCUCAACCAUAGUUCGCUUUGGAAACUGUCAAACUUGAGUGCAGAAGGGGAGAGUGGAAUUCCAUGUGUAGCGGUGAAAUGCGUAGAUAUAUGGAGGAACACC